ACUCCUAAUAGGACUCCUACUCAAGACUCAUAUUCCCUUACAACUCCUAGUUCUUCUAUAAGAAAAAACUUCCUACAUGAAUGCCCCUCUCAAUUAGGACUCUCCUAGCUAGAGUCCUAACAGAAUGUCCCUCUCAAUUAGGACUCUCCUAGCUAGAGUCCUAAUAGUUUUACAUGAAUGUCCCUCUAAAUUAGGACUCUCCAAGCUAGAGUCCUAACAGACCCGCCCUCUUCAAAUCAGCCUUGUCCUCGAGGCUGAUGAUUCGUGAAUUUUGGGAAUUUGAUCUUCAAGUCGUCAUAGUUCUCCCAAGUGGCAUCUUCUAUUGGUAGGUUCGCCCACUGUAUUAGCACUUCAUUAGUGGGUCGUCGUCGUCGAGUCACGAUCCGUCGAUCAAUAAUGGCACUUGGCUGGGUCUGGAGUUCUCUUUGGGUAGUCAUAUUUGUUGGGUGGCUUUAGGCUGUCUCCAAGCACCUAUUUAAAACUUCCGUCUGGCUGUUGGUUUGUGGGUGAUAUGUCGUACUCCUUUUUCAAUUUAGUACCCUGCAUAUGGAAUAACUUUGUCCAAAAUCUGCCCUUGAAG
rnacentral:lncRNA from 1 species